rnacentral:rRNA from 1 species
AACGUAGGGGACAAGCGUUAUCCGGAUUUACUGGGCGUAAAGCGCCCGUAGGCGGCCUGACAAGUUGGACGUGAAAGCUCCUGGCUUAACUGGGAGAGGCCGUUCAAAACUGUCAAGCUAGAGUCUGGAAGAGGAGAGCGGAAUUCCCGGUGUAGUGGUAGAAUGCGUAGAGAUCGGGAGGAACACCAGUGGCGAAAGCGGCUCUCUGGUCCAAAACUGACGCUGAGGGGCGAAAGCGUGGGGAGCGAACGGG